rnacentral:rRNA from 1 species
AUUGAACGCUAGCGGCAUGCUUUACACAUGCAAGUCGAACGAGUGGCGGACGGGUGAGUAAUAUAUCGGCAAGUGGCCAGUAGCGGGGGAUAACUACUCGAAAGAGUGGCUUAUACCGCAUACUCUUGGAGCAACCGAUAUCGGAUGGGCUAGUUGGUGGGGUAAAGGCUCACCAGGGCAACGAUCCGUGGCUGGUUUGAGAGGACGACCGGCAACACGGGGAUGAGGAAACGGCCCAGACUCCUACGGGAGGAGCAAGUGGGGAAUUUUGGAAAAGGGGGGAAGCCCUGCUCCAGCAAGCCGGGUUGUAGGAGAAGCCCUUCGGUUUGUAAAGUACUUUUGGCAGAGAAGCGGUAUCUGCAGAAUAAGCACCGGCUAACUCCGUGCCAGCAGCCGCGGUAAUAC